AAAGCUCAAAUUUGAAAUCUGGCUCUUUUAGAGUCCGAAUUGUAAUUUGUAGAAGAUGCUUCGGGUGUGGUUCCGGUCUAAGUUCCUUGGAACAGGACGUCAUAGAGGGUGAGAAUCCCGUAUGUGACUGGAUACCUAUGCUCAUGUGAAGCUCUUUCGACGAGUCGAGUUGUUUGGGAAUGCAGCUCAAAAUGGGAGGUAUAUUUCUUCUAAAGCUAAAUAUUGGCCAGAGACCGAUAGCGCACAAGUAGAGUGAUCGAAAGAUGAAAAGCACUUUGGAAAGAGAGUUAAACAGUACGUGAAAUUGUUGAAAGGGAAGCGCUUGCAAUCAGACUUGCACUUGGUGUUCAUCAGGGUCUCGUACCCUGUGUACUUCAUCAAGUUCAGGCCAGCAUCAGUUUGAGUGGUUAGAUAAAGGCUUAGAGAAUGUGGCCCUCUUCGGGGGGUGUUAUAGCUCUAGGUGCAAUGUAGCCUACUU
rnacentral:rRNA from 1 species